rnacentral:rRNA from 1 species
UGGGGAAUAUUGGACAAUGGGCGAAAGCCUGAUCCAGCCAUGCCGCGUGUGUGAAGAAGGUCUUCGGAUUGUAAAGCACUUUAAGUUGGGAGGAAGGGCAUUAACCUAAUACGUUAGUGUUUUGACGUUACCGACAGAAUAAGCACCGGCUAACUCUGUGCCAGCAGCCGCGGUAAUACAGAGGGUGCAAGCGUUAAUCGGAAUUACUGGGCGUAAAGCGCGCGUAGGUGGUUUGUUAAGUUGGAUGUGAAAUCCCGGGGCUCAACCUGGGAACUGCAUUCAAAACUGACUGACUAGAGUAUGGUAGAGGGUGGUGGAAUUUCCUGUGUAGCGGUGAAAUGCGUAGAUAUAGGAAGGAACACCAGUGGCGAAGGCGACCACCUGGACUAAUACUGACACUGAGGUGCGAAAGCGUGGGGAGCAAACA